rnacentral:tRNA from 1 species
AUCUAAAUAGUUUAAUGGGUAAAAUGUUGGUUUGUGGUGCCGAUGAUAUAAGUGUUUAUUUUAGAUU